GUUGGUGUAUCUCACUGGUAGAGUGCAUGCUGUGUAUUUAUGAUGUCCUGGGUUCAAUCCCCAGCUUUUCCC
rnacentral:tRNA from 1 species